UACGUAGGGGGCUAGCGUUGUCCGGAAUCAUUGGGCGUAAAGAGCGUGUAGGCGGUCCGGUAAGUCCGCUGCGAAAGUCGGGGGCUCAACCCUCGAAUGCCGGUGGAUACUGUCGGGCUAGAGUGCGGAAGAGGCGAGUGGAAUUCCUGGUGUAGCGGUGAAAUGCGCAGAUAUCAGGAGGAACACCUAUUGCGAAGGCAGCUCGCUGGGACGUUACUGACGCUGAGACGCGAAAGCGUGGGGAGCAAACAGG
rnacentral:rRNA from 1 species